CUCUUAAGAUAUAUACCCCCACCCAGCUUCCCCUAAUCCAAUAUUGGAGCCUCCUGUCCUGUAAUAUUCUUUCUUGUAUUGUUAACAAAUCCCAGUUUCACUCUCUUUGGUUUUUGGGAUAUCAUUCAUUCAUUCACUCAUCGACAAACUUCCAUUUUUCAAGCUUUUUCAGUGAAUAAAAAUGGAAUUGGAACAAGUAGGGCAAGGACAAGAAGAGAAAGAGCAAGAGCAUCCACUCCAUAACCCUCUUCUCUCCCCAUACAAGAUGGGAAACUUCCUACUUUCUCAUAGUGUCACAGUCAUCCCUUCAGGGGGAACCUUGGUGUAAAGAGAUUGUUUCACUAUAGCCAAUGGUUGAACAGAUUGCGGAUGAUGAACCAACAGUUGUUGUGGAAAAGGAAGCAGGCAAAGUUUAUGUCAGAGACAAAGAAUAGACACAAAGUCACCUGGAUGCAAAAGACUACUUUCCUUCCUCUGCUGCCAACUUCUUCUCCGGAUGAGUGUCCAGACUCAUCCUCCUCUCCUAAAAACCCAAGAUGCUUUCUGUAUUCCUAAAUGGAAACAUGCCAUGUUGGAGGAGAUAAAAGCUCUCAGCAAGAAUGACACUUGGGAGUUAGUGGAGUUACCUAGAGGCAAAAAUCCAAUUGGGUGUAAAUGGGUGUACACUGUAAAACACAAAGUCGAUGGUUUCAUAAAACGGUACAAAGCAAGACUGAUUGCUGAGGGCUUCACUCAGACUUAUAGGGUAGAUUACCAGUGGACAUUUGCCCUAAUGGCUAAGAUGAACUCUGUGAGAAUACUACUCUCUCUUGCAGCAAAUUUGAAUUGGCCACUUCAUCAGUUUGAUGUAAAGAAUGCAUUCCUUCAUGGAGACCUAGUAGAAGAGGUCUAUAUGGAUAUUCCCCAUGGUUUUGUAGAUGCUAAGUCUAAAGCUAAAGUAUGUAGGCUCCAGAAGUCACUUUAUGGGCUAAAGCAAUCUCUUAGAGCUUGGUUUGAAAGGUUUGCUCAAGCUAUGCUAAGAUAUGGGUUCAAGCAAAGUCAAGCUGACACACCUUAUUUGUGAAACACUCCUCACAUGGUAAGACAACAGCUCUUCUUAUUGUUUAUGUUGAUGAUAUUGUUUUGACAGGGGGAUGACGUUGAGAAGAUCCCUCUGUUGAAGGAAUACUUAGCCAAGGAGUUUGAAAUCAAAGACUUGGGUACUUUGAAGUAUUUCUUGGCCAUUAAAGUAGUUAGGUCCAAGGAUGAUAUCUUCAUAUGUCAGAAAAAGUAUUUGGAGAUAGACCAUGUGAUACACCUCUAGAACCGGGCCAAAAACUAAGUGAGGAUCAAGAGGGAGAGCCAGUGGACAGGGGGAGAUGUCAGAGACUAGUGGAGUUGUCUUGGCGCCAUUGACUAGGCAGAGAUCGUUCGACAAAGUUCCUCAACCACAUGCUGUCUUAUAUUACUCACAGAGGACCAGCAAAGGAGGUCUUCUCAUUGCCGAAGCCACUAUGGUUUCCGAUACUGCACAGGGAUAUCCAUUUACACCUGGUAUAUUGACAAAGGAGCAAGUUGAAGCUUGGAAACCUAUUGUAGAUGUUGUUCAUGCAAAGAGUGGUAUAUUCUUUUGUCAGAUUUGGCAUGCAGAAAGAGUUUCAAAUCAAGGUAUAUUGUUGAAUUUUGCCCCCAUUUGAAUGUCUCUUUCAUCAUAUGGCAAUAUUUCACUGAUAAUAACAAUGAAUAAUCAUUGAGUCAAAUGUUUCCAGCUCGUUGUUUAGCUCCUUUGUUUGCAAAACAUAAAUAACAUUUGUGGAAGAAUUUGUGGCAACAUUUUGACUUCUAGUUUUCUGUUUAUAUUUGUCAGUUAUGCAUGAACUAUGUUG